AUCCCAGAAUGCAUUUCGCACCAGCAACACGGAACAAUGGCGGACGAGAGAGACGACACAACUGUAAAUUGACAUUUUCGAAAUUGUCCAGAUUCAGCCUACUUAAAAAUAUGUUCGGAGAUGUGGGGACCUGAUAGCGGGACCGGGAAGUCUCGCCAGCACCGGGCGGUCAGCGCGUCCUCAGGUACCCAGAUAUAGACGAGUGUGCUGUUAACCAGGGGCUCGGUGCGUGUGCGGAGCAGUGCCAUAACGCACCAGGAUCCUACCGGUGCUCCUGCUCGUAUGGUUACACCUUAGCCGGAAACGACCACAGCUGCAUCGCAGAGUGUCCACCUGGCUACAGGAAGCAACCCACGGCAACAGCACCGGAGAAUUCAACUGCACAAGCUCUCAGGGAGGAUUGUGUCGGUAGGACAUAACGACAUGAAUGCUGAGUAUGUCCACCAUGUUUCUCCAAAGGAAUCCUCAAUAUAUUUCUGCGUGUCCACACAGAUAUAAAUGAAGUGCCAUGAGGAAGCGUGCGAGUGGCAGUGUGUCAACCUGCCAUUUCUUUCUUAAAACUGUAUUUUCCCCAAUUGAUUAAAAAAUGGAUUAGUUAAUAAUUGACCCAUUUGAAUUUCAGAUUCUUGUGUUUGUGUGUUUGUGUGUGUGUGUGUGUACAUAUAUUGUAAAUAAAUAAACAAAUCUGUGUGUUAA